rnacentral:rRNA from 1 species
GACAGAGGCCUCAAGCGUUAGGCGGAAUCACUGGGCUUAAAGCGUGUGUAGGCGGGUCGUUAAGUACCUUGUGAAAUCCCACGGCUCACCCGUGGAACUGCUGGGUAUACUGGCGAUCUUGGGCCAACUAGGGGCAACUGGAACAAGCGGUGGAGCGGUGAAAUGCGUAGAUAUCGCUUGGAACGCCAAAGGUGAAAACAGGUUGCUGGGGUUGUGCCGACGCUG